rnacentral:rRNA from 1 species
UACGUAGGGUGCGAGCGUUGUCCGGAAUUAUUGGGCGUAAAGAGCUUGUAGGCGGUUUGUCGCGUCUGCCGUGAAAAUUCGAGGCUCAACCUCGAACUUGCGGUGGGUACGGGCAGACUAGAGUGUGGUAGGGGAGACUGGAAUUCCUGGUGUAGCGGUGAAAUGCGUAGAUAUCAGGAGGAACACCGGUGGUGUAAACGGCUUUCUGGACCAUAACUGACGCUGAGGCACGAAAAGCGUGGGUAGCAAACAGG